GACACGGCCGAGAAAGGGCCCAGCCCCGCGCGGACCACAGACUGGCAGGCCGGCCAGACAGACGGACAGGCUGACCCCGGCCCGGGGGAGCAGGCGCAGCGGCUGCGCAGGUAAUGUGAAAUGGUGAGACAUGAUUCCUCAGAGCUCUGUUAUCCCACAAGUCUGUGUCUACCAGCCGCACAAGGAAAAUCUUUCACGAGGUUCCUCUCAGUUCCUGUGGCAGACAGACUCUUGGGGAAGUUGCUCACCAUCCCACCUGCUGAUGUCAUGGCUUUCUGUAAUUCCUUCUGUUUGAGUGGUGGGGGUGGGUGGCUGCAGUGGUGCUGUGACUUGCUUCUCACUGGUAGAAUGCAGCAAAGGUGAUGAGAUAGGUGGGAUAGAUGGUGCCAUGUCAGCGAUGACAUGGGUAUAUUAUGUGACAGUGUGGGGCCGGGCACGGUGGCUCAAGCAUGUAAUCCCAGCACUUUGGGGGGCCAAGGUGGGCGGAUCAGGAGGUCAGGAGAUUGAGAACAACCUAGCUAACACGGUGAAACCCUGUCUCUACUAAAAAAUACAAAAAAUUAGCCAGGCGUGAUGGCAGGCGCCUGUAGUCCCAGCUACUUGGGAGGCUGAGGCAGGAGAAUGGCGAGAACCCGGGAGGUGGAGCUUGCAGUGAGCCGAGAUGGCGCCACUGCACUCCAGCCUGGGGGACAGAGUGAGACUCCGUCUCGAAAAAAAAAAAAAAAGAAAGCGUGGCACUUGUCUUGCUGAGUCUCCCUAUGCCUCUCCAUUGGUUUUGAAGAAGCAAGCUGGCAUGUGGCAGCCUGCGGAUGUUGGGAGGCCACACGGCAAGGAACUGCAGCAUCUCUAGGAGCUGAGGGUGGACCCUGACUGGCAGCCAACAACAAACUGAAGCUCUCAAGCCUACCACCAUAAGGAAUUGAAUUCUGCCAAUAACCUGAGUGAGCAUGGAAGCAGAUCCUUUCCCAGCCAAGCCUCAGACAAGGUUCUGGCCCUGGGAAACACCUUGACUGAAGUCUUGUGAGACCAUAGGAAGAAGACUUAGCUGAGCCAGUCUCAGAUCCUGACCCAUAGAACCUGUUAGAUACUUAGCAUGUGUUGUUUUCAGCCUCUGUGUUUGUGGUAAUUUAUUAUACAAUACAUACUGUUCCCCACCCUAAUACUUGAAACUCCUGACCCCAAUCCCUGUGCUCUAUUUACAACUCCAUGCCACCACUGGGGGAAUAAUCCCAUAAUAGUAUCUGUGUGUGGGUAGCUUUACCUGUCUGUAUCUACACAUAGAUCUUGUGACAGUAAAUUUUAUCUAUCAACUUGACUGGGCUAAAGGAUGCCCUUAUAGUUAAUUAAACAUUAUUUCUGGAUAUGUCUGACUAGCAGAGAUUAGCAUUUGGAUUGGUGGACUGAGUGAAGCAGAUGGCCCUCAAUGUCAUCCAAUCCUUGAGGGCCUGAAUAGAGCAAAAAAGGCAGAUGAAGGUUGAUUUUGCUCUUUGCCUGACUGCUUGAGUUGGGACAUUGAUCUCUUGCGCUUGGUGCUUUGGUUCUUAGGCCUUCAGACCUGAGCUGAAAUCUACACCACCGGCUCUCUGACUAUCAGGCUUUGGACUAUACUUUGGGCUUUCCUGGGUCUCUUACCUGGCAGACAGCAGAUUUUGGAACUUUUCAGCCUCCAUAAUCAUCAACUCUGUGAGGGAUUGUUAUCUCCAUUUUAUGGAUGAGGAAGCUGACUCUGAGAGAUGACUUUCCAAAUUCAUCCAACUGGAAGAAAAAGGAAGUCUCUGGGGACUUGAAUCCAGAACUGUCCAGCUCCAAGUCCAGGGCUCACUCUAUUAAGCCACUCCAUGAGGAAUGAGUCCCUAAGGAGGCCACAGAAGGCCCUAAGCCCUCUUUUGUUCUCUGGAAGAGAGUGCCAUUUCUUGGCCCUUCCCAAGGCCUUGACAACUGAAGUUCCCAGAAGAACCACAAAGCAUAAAUUUCCCCAAAAGGGGAAUUUUGUUGAUGGCUUUAGUCUAUUCCCUCCUAAAAGACCAGCUACAACCAAAUGAAGUGAACAUAACCUCAAGGGUGUAUUGUCUUCAUAAUAAAAGAUGAAGCUUAGAACUGGAUCACUUGGCCCUUUCUCUUCUGACAUCCUCCCAGUUGA
rnacentral:lncRNA from 10 species